GAGAGCAGAGACUGAAC
rnacentral:tRNA from 1 species